AGACAAUUCUCACUCUCUUCUUAAGUAAUAAAAAAUGGCAAGUCUUUUGCCUCCUUCAAAAAUGUUAUGCUAUUAAAGAAUAGAGUAGCUUGGCAUCAUUGUAGAUUUCGAUAGUUCCAUUCACCGAAUUAUUUUUGCCUAUUUAAAUGUUUGGAAUAGCACACUUUUUCAUAUUUUCACGGCUGUUUUUCCUCACUAAAUCAAAUAAAAUAUAUUCCAUAGUUUAGGAAUCACAAACUUAGCCUUUCUAUAGCUAUUUUCCACAUCAAAUUGUAAGAUAAUUUAGCAUUUCAACAGUCACAAACUUAGCCUCAAACUAACUAAUUUCUAACCCUUCCCGUUCUCAACUGAGUAGAGGGUUGUUACAUGAUGAGUUCUUUUGGUUUUGUGUCGUCUGUAACCAAACCUUUAGAGAUGUAAUGGCGGAACAUUAAAAUGCCAUGAUAUUAGGGAGAUAACCAAAAUCAACAAAACAGGAAAUAAUUCCGCAAUGUCGCCAUCCCAGUCUUGUUGUCGCUCUCCUUGUUUGUUUCAUAUAUUGAUACAUCAUACAUCUACAAUGAUGCAAUGUCAAAUCAACAUGAAAAUCCAGAUGUUGAGAAUCAAAAUUUGAAUUCUUUUGUGCAUGUCAUGGUUCAUGUUGUAUUUCAGAGACUUGCUUAAUGAUUUAUUGGUAAGGCCCUUAUUCUCUCACACACAAAGAUAGGGACAACAGUGGGAAGUUGAGAGUGGUCAAUGUGGGAUAGAGGAGGGGGUAUAAGUGUUAUUCAUUCAUUUGGCAAACGCUUACGGGCUGAAAGGAAGCAACAUUCGUGCAACACCUUUAUUAUAUUACAAGAAAACAUAAACAUAUACUUCUGCAUAACAUGUGAACUGUAGUGCCGAACCAUUCACUGACUUUAUUCUUCUGGCCCUUUUAACUAGUAGCUCCCUAUUCUCCGAGAGAGAAGGCCGCCGCAUCAUGGGUGUCAGACAGACCGGUGUCGGUCUUGACGGUGACCUUAUCAGCAGAAGACUCAUCCACAUAGACCUCGACCAAAGACAUGUCCUCGAUCUUGACCCCGGUGACCUUCUUCAUCUUGCCCUUCUCCACAAAAGAGGUCACCUCGGUGUCGUAGGAGACGGUCUGGUUGAUCUUCUUGAAGGUGUGCUCGUUCUUCUUCUUCUGAAGCAUCCACACAAACCCACUCUCACAGUUGUGCCCGACCUCCUCGAUGUCAUCCAUAGGAAAGAGGCCUUUCGGGAGGCUGAGUUCUUCGAGAAGCUCGACCGUCUUCUGCUUGCAGAUAUCGUUCCCCUUGUGGACCUCGGCGCCGGCGCGGUGGCUCUCGACAAGCUGGGACGCCAUUUUGGGGAAGUGGGUUUUAAUUUGCUGGAUUGGUAGAUGAGCUUGUUGAACGUGAUAGAUCAGGAUCUGAUGGUGCUGCCUUAUAUAGUUGUUGCAAGUUGUACUGGCUGCAAAGAGCCUCUUCGAAGGUGCUACGCGUGCGCCAGCCAAGUGAGACCGGCAACUCUCCUCUGUGGAAUUCCUCUUCAGAUGCUUCUGUUUUGAGGAAGAAAAAUGAACGUCUCCCCUUUGGAGUUAGAUCAUUACGUCCAGCCAUAUCUGACCAUUGAAAUGCCUUAUGCUGAACUCCACAGCAGAACACUCUGAGUUGAGCUGGUCACGGAUGACUUAAUUGACCAUUGCGUAUAUUGGUGUGCCAUCGCAGCUGCGGGUGGAAGCAAUGUGCUUGCCACAGUUCUGCAAGAAGGAAACACAGUCCAACAACAGGUUCUGUGUUGAAGUCAGUUGGACAUGUACCUCUCUAAUUUCUGUUGUAACCAUCCUCCGGUGCUCAUGUUAUAUGGGUUAGGUUGUAUUAUUUUUAACCCGUUUUUUCGUUAGUUAAGCGGGCAUUCCUCACUCUCUUCUUAAUGAAAAUAACAAGUCUUCUGCCUCGUUAUAAACUUAUAUGCUAUUAAAGAAUAGACUAGCUUGGCAUCAUCGUAGAUUUUGGAAGUUCCAUUCACCGAUUAUUUUUGCCUAUUUAAAUAUUUGGGAUAGCUUGUUUUUGCAUAUUCAUGGCUGUUUUUCCUCACUAAAUUAAAAAAGAACUUAGUUUAGCAAUCACAAACUUAGUCUUUUUAUAAGUAUUUCCCCAUCAAAUUGUAAGGUAAUUUAGCAUGCAUUUCAACGGUCACAAACUUAGCCUCGAACUAACUAAUUUCCAACCCUUCCCGUUCUCAACUGAGUAGAGGGUUGUGGCAUGAUCAGUUCUUUACGUUUUGUGUUGUCUGUAACCUAACCUUUAGAGAUGUAACGGGGGAACAUUAAAAAUGUUGUGAGCAACUUGUUUUCACAUCAACCUGAACUUAGAAUUAGAAAGUACUCUAAUCCUCAACCAUAGCAGUAGGAGUUUUUCUCUGUGUUGGUUUUGUCUUUUUUUUACUAGUUCUUAAAUUUUGGCUAGUUUUGGCUUGCUCUAGUUUCUGCUUUUGUCUUCUUUUUUCCCUUUGCAUUUUCUCAGCAAUCUUUCAACACAAGGAAAAAAAAGACAAGAACUUGUUUUCGAAUAAAAAUAUGUGUCUAAGAAAAAUGUUUUCCACAUCGAUCUGAACCAUAAAUGUGGAAAUAAACUCCGAUGAUUUGAUAUUAGCGAGAAAAUUAAAAUCAACAAAACAGGAAAUUAUUCCACAAUGUUUCCAUUCAAGCCUGGCUGUCAAUCUUUUUUUUUUUGAGACACUGAUAUAGCAUACAUCUAAAAUUAUGAAAUGUUAAAAUCAACAUGAAAAUCUAUAUAUAGAGAAUCAAAAUAAGAUUUCUUCUGUGCAUGUCAUGGUUCAUGUUGUAUUUCAAAGCCUUGCAUAAUUAUUUGUUAAUAAGGCCCUUAUUCUCUCAGACACAAAGAUAGGGACAACAGUGGGAAGUUGAGAGUGGUCGAUGAGGGAUAAGUGUUAUUCAUUACAUUUGGCGUAUGCUUACGGGCCGAAAGGAAGCAACAUUCAUGCAGCAUCCUUUAUUACAUUACAAAGAAAACAGAAACAUAAAUUUCUGCAUAACAUGGGCUGAAAGGAAGCAACAUUCAUGCAACAACCUUUAUGAGAUUACAAAGAAAACGGAAACAUAUAUUUCUGCAUAACAUGUGAACUGUAGUGCCGAACCAUUCACAGACUUUAUUCUUCUGGCCUUUUUAACUAGUAGCUCCCUAUUCUCCGGGAGCGAACACGGCCGCAUCAUGGGUGUCAGACAGACCGGUGUUGGUCUUGACGGUGACCUUAUCAGCAGAAGACUCAUCCACAUAGACCUCGACCAAAGACACCUCCUCGAUCUUGACCCCGGUGACCUUCUUCAUCUUGCCCUUCUCCACAAAAGCGGUCACCUCGGUGUCAUAGGAGACGGUCUGGUUGAGCUUGUUGAAGGUGUGCUCGUUCUUCUUCUUCUGAAGCAUCCACACAAACCCACUCUCACAGUUGUGCCCGACCUCCUCGAUGUCAUCCAUAGGAAAGAGGCCUUUUGGGAGGCCGAGCUCUUCGAGAAGCUCGACCGUCUUCUUCUUGCAGAUAUCGCUCCCCUUGUGGACCUCGGCACCGGCGCGGUGGCUCUCGACCAGCUGGGAUGCCAUUUGAGCAAUGUCUUGUCUAAGAAUUGUUUUCUUGGGAAGUGGGGUUUUAGUUUGUUGGGUUGGUAGAUGAGCCUGUUGAAGGUGAUAGAUCAGGAUCCGACGGUGCUGCCUUAUAUAGAUGCUGCAAGUUGUACUGGCUGCGAAGAGCCUCUUCGAAGCUGCUACGUGCGCGCCUGCCCAGUGAGACCAGCAGCUCUCCUAUGUGGACUUCCUCUUCCAGAUACUUCAUGUUUUGAAGAAGAAAAAUGAACGUAUCUCCUUUGGAGUUAGCUCAUUACGUACAACCAUAUCUGACCAUUGAAAUGCCUUAUGUUAAAUUCCACACCAGAACACUGGAGUUGAGCUGGUCACGCAUGACCGAAUUGACCAUUGCUUAUAUUGGUGUGUCAUCGCAGCUGCAAGAAGGAACCAAAGCAGAGAUCGUUUUGUCUCAUCUGGUGAACGAUGCAGUCAUGCAGAGGUACCGUGUGAUCGCCAAAGCACGAGGAGUUGAUCCCUAGCAUGUGUAGAGCAGGCGUCCAAUAGCAGGUUCGGUGUUAAAGUCACGUGGACAUGCACCUCUCCAAUAUUCUGUUGUAACCAUGCGCCGGCGUCUCCUUGUCAAUGGCCAGGUCGGUCAGGUGCUCUUUCCCGUUAAUUAAGCGGGCAAUUCUUGCUCUCUUCUUAAUUAAUAAAAAUAACAAGUAUUCUGCCUUGUUAAAAAAAUGCUAUUAAAGAAUAGAGUAGCUUGGCAUCAUCGUAGAUUUUGGUAGUUCCAUUCACCGAAUUAUUUUUGCCUAUUUAAAUGUUUGGAAUAGAUUACUUUUGCAUAUUUCAUGGCUGUUUUUCCUCACUAAAUUGAAAAAAAUCCAUAGUUUAGCAAUCACAAACUUAGCCUUUUUAUAGGUAUUUUCCACAUAAAAUUGUAAGAUAAUUUAGGAUUUCAACAGUCACAAACUUAGCCUCAAACUAACUAAUUUCUAACCUUCCUGUUCCCAACUGAGUAGAGGGUUGUGGCAUGAUGAGUGCUUUCCGUUUUAUGUUGUUGUAACCAAACAUUUAGAGAUGUAAUGGUGGAACAUUAAAAAUGUCGUGAGCAACUUGUUUUCACAUCAAUCUGAACUUAGAAUUAGAAAAUAUUCUAAUCCUCAACCAUAGCAGUAGGAGUUUUGCUCUGUGUUGGACUGUUGGUUUUGCCAUUCUAUUUUACUAGUUCUUAAAUUUUGGCUAGUUUUGGCUUGCUCUGGUUUCUGCUUUUGUCCUCUUUUGUUCCUUUGCAUUUUCUCAGCAAUCUGUCACAAGAAAAAAAAGACAAGAAGUUGUUUUCGCAUAAAAAUAUGUGUCUAAAAAAUAGUUUUUCACAUUGAUUUAAACCAUAAAUGUGGAAAUAAACUCUGAUGAUUUGAUAUUAGUGAGAAAAUUAAAAUCAACAAAACAGGAAAUUGUUCCACAAUGUUUCCAUUUGAGCCUUGUUGUCGAUCUCUUUUUUUAGACACUGCCAUAACAUACAUCUAAAAUUAUGAAAUGUUAAAAUCAACAUGAAAAUCCAUAUAUCGAGAAUCAAAAUUAGAUUUCUUCUGUUCAUGUCAUGGUUCAUGUUGUAUUUCAAAGCCUUCCUUAAUUAUUUGUUGAUAAGGCCCUUAUUCUCUCUCACACAAAGAUAGGGAUAACAGCAGGAAGUUGAGUGGUCGAUGUGGGAUAUAGGAGGCGGUAUAAGUGUUAUUCAUUACAUUUGGCGUACACUUACGGGCUGAAAGGAAGCAACAUUCACGCAAAAUCCUCUAUUACAUUACAAAGAAAAUGGAAACAUAAAUUUCUGCAUAACAUGGGCUGAAAGGAAACAACAUUCAUGCAACAGCCUUUAUUAGAUUACAAAGAAAAUGGAAACAUAUACUUCUGCAUAACAUGUGAACUGCAGUGCCGAACAAUUCACUGACUUUAUUCUUCUGGCCUUUUUAACUAGUAGCUCCCUAUUCUCCGAGAGCGAACACGGUCGCAUCAUGGGUGUCAGACAGACCGGUGUUGGUCUUGACGGUGACCUUAUCAGCAGAAGACUCAUCCAUAUAGACCUCGACCAAAGACAGGUCCUCAAUCUUGACCCCGGUGACCUUCUUCAUCUUGCCCUUCUCCACAAAAGCGGUCACCUCGGUGUCGUAGGAGACGGUCUGGUUGAUCUUCUUGAAGGUGUGCUCGUUCUUCUUCUUCUGAAGCAUCCACACAAACCCACUCUCACAAUUGUGCCCGACCUCCUCGAUGUCAUCCAUAGGAAAGAGACCUUUCGG
rnacentral:lncRNA from 1 species